GCCUGCCUUCCUUCCCGGCUUUCGGAGGUACCCCCAAUCCAAUCCCACUCUGUCCUCUCCUUUGCCUCGACGCCAAAGUCCUUAGCACCAGCCCGGCAUGUACACGGUCCGGCGAGGGGCCGAGGGCUCUGCGCUCCAGGGCCUGGGCAGCAGAGAGGAGACCGGGGGUCAGGGGCCAAGGGGACGGAGCCUGAACUCCGGGUCCUCUCUGGGCAUUGCCCCGCGCGUGCCCUUGGCAGUGCAGCUUGGUCACGCUCGCUGAAUACGUUCCAGUCUCUGUCCGGAACGCUCCGGGGACUUUGGUUUGCACCUAGAGCUCCUUUUGUGUUCUCUGGAAGCGCGGCCCCUCUCCCCCUACCCCUCACUCCUUCCGUGAAGCACCUGGUUCCCGGAGCCGACAGCAUCCCCUCUGCCCUGCGCCCCUCUUCCGCAGCUCCGGGCGGAGAACCGACUGUCCGCAGGCCGUGGCAACCCCCUACAUGUCCACCAGAUGGCGCUCCAGGCCAGGGGCCGAGCGGCGGCCGGACAGCCCGCCCCCGGGCUGCAGCCUACCUUGGACCCAGAGCCGCGGCAGGAUCCGCUCCGAGACUGGGCCGCAGGCCCAGGGGGUGGACGCAGGCCGCUGAGAGAUCGAGGCGCUCCGCGCACCCGAAGGAAACUCCAGACAGAGGAGGCAGACACAAGGAUGGGACUGCCCGAGGCUCGGGAUGGGGUCCUGAGCACUUCCGGAACCAGCUGGCUCCAGCUGCCUCCAGCAUCCUUGUGGGAUGUGGUUCCUCCCCCCAUCCAAGCCGGAUUGCACCUUGGUACAAGCUGCGGCAGAGGCGUAGCUUGAUGGAGGGUAGAUUGGGCAGCCAGCACCGCGGUUUAUUCACUGACUGUGACUUCUUCAAAAGAGACAAGGGGAUACUCAUGGAGGACAUUCAGGGUGUUCAUGAUGAAUCCCCAUUUCACAGCCGAUGACAGUGAGGUUCAGGGAGGUGACGUGACGUGCCCCCAAGCCAUCCAGUAAAUAAAGAAGAGUUCUUUCACA
rnacentral:lncRNA from 1 species